GGUUUGUGGCUCAGUGGCAGAGCGCUUGCCUGGCACGUGUGAGGCACUUGGUUCAAUCCUCAGCACCA
rnacentral:tRNA from 1 species